rnacentral:rRNA from 1 species
CAGGUAGGGAAUCUUCCACAAUGGGCGCAAGCCUGAUGGAGCAACACCGCGUGAGUGAAGAAGGGUUUCGGCUCGUAAAGCUCUGUUGUUAAAGAAGAACACGUAUGAGAGUAACUGUUCAUACGUUGACGGUAUUUAACCAGAAAGUCACGGCUAACUACGUGCCAG